rnacentral:snRNA from 1 species
AUAGGCCCUGGCGCCGGGACCAGGUUGAUCACUGACGCCCUGGCCCCAGGUGGAGGCUCGCCCUUGCGCUCUGGCGGGUUGAAGCCUGCAACGAUCCCUAAUCGGGCUCGCUCGGGGGCAUAGUUUUUCGCCAGUGGGCAGGUCUUCGGACCAUCCCUUU